GUAGGGGCUCUGCUGGAGUUGCUCUUACCCGCGCCGCCGUCUCCCCCGUCUCUCCUCUCUCCCCAUGCGGCUGGGAGGGGCCUGUGCGCUCGCCACGAUGCGGUGACGCACCGGCGUGUCUGGAUCCCGGCCAUGGCCGGAGCCACGACGGCGGCGGUGGCGGCUAUGCCGCACCUCCCUCACUCUCUUUCUCCCUAUCCUCUACCACUGUGGCGGCGCAACAGCCGGCGAUGGCCGCAGCCGCGAGCAGCAGGUCGCUGUCCCCUCCGCUUCCCCGCAUGUUGUGCACAGUUCCACGAUGAAGGAUCUGGCUCCUCCGACCUGCCAGGCACCGUGCCGCCCCCACCCUAAGCCGCCGGCCGACCUGACACCGACGACCCCACGAGGGCGUCGCGGGCAAGCCCCAACGGCCCCUCCCCACCCUCGCCCACAGCGGCGGUGCCUCCGGUUGCACGCAGACGCAGUAGUGCAGUCAGCCCCCAGCGCGACGGUUAGUCCCCUCCACAGCUCCGCCCCCUGAUCGGUUCCGCGUCGCGAUGGAAGUCCGCGUGCCCAAGCGGAAGGUAGAUUUGGUUCUGGGCUGGCCGUUCCCCAUGCACCCAUCUAGCCUCCUUGCUGUUUCCACCGAACUCCAGCAAACCAAGGCCGUCUGCUUCAUCUCACCAGUCACCAGCACGCAAGCCAUAGACAAGAUAUCUUUGGCAAAUAUUAUUAACCAUCGGUGGAUCGCUUGCAGCGGCAAGUGGAGCACCACUAUCCCCAUCGAGCCUCUUCAGUAUGUGCAUUCGUAUGUAGUUUUUUGUCCUGCAGCGGCAAGUGGAGCACCGCUGUCCCCAUCGAGCCUAUUCGGUAUGUGCAUUGAUGGUUCAAGAUACUGUUGGUGGUUUGUAGCAAAAGCUCAACCUCAUGUCAAUGGACAAGGGCGCAGGAGCAAUCGAUAUCACAUAAUCUGUCCAUGUAAGGUUUGGAUGGCGAUUAUGCGAUAUCAGAUGUGCAGAUCAGUGCCUACCCAUUCUAAAAAUCUCAACCUUGCAUUCUCAAUAUUUCACACCAAUGGUGGAGAAUAAGAAGAACAAUAAUCCAAUAGCCAAUAGUGUGCUCUUUUUUCCCCUUGUUUCAAAUUCCUAAACAUAGAUGGAAUUUCAGCUUCAUGUGACAUAUGUUAAUGCAUAUUAAUUUCGUCUCACUUCAAAAUCCCCAUUACAACCAGAUUAUGUGUUCCAUGGUCUACUCUUGGAAUUUAAAUAGUUCCUAUUGUAAUUUUAGUAGUCAAUGUGCGGUUUAGUCCCAACUUAAAUAUGUGAUUUCCUAUAGCUAAUGGGCUCCUUAGUCCAAUGUGAUUGCCUUAUUCAUGGUGUCAAAUCUGAGUUUCCUCUCAGAUGACACAUGAAUGUAGGAGAACAUAUAUCCUAUGCCUGUUGAGCGAUGUUGUCGCUACUAAUUAGGUUGUUGUUUUGUUGCCUCUCUAGCUAACCACUGAUGCUCCUUUUCGGCAUUGAGGAUCGACCCUGUGUUUCUUACUUGGUUUUUGUGGUACAUUCUUGCAGUUGAUGGGCGCAGCAUUGGUGGAGACCGUGUGCGGAUACUAUGUGCCGGCGGAUACUCACUCCUGCAUUCAGUAUGGUUGCCAUUUUGUUCCUUUCUUUGUCAUAUUUCUUCUACCAUUGUGCUACUUUUCUAUAUGUAUAGAACCUUGGUUUUCCAUUUUGAUACAGUUUCAACUCAUAAUUUAUAUCGUGUUGAAGGAACUUGCUUCAUUUUGCGAGUUUAUACUAUGUUGCUCUUUUUUUCUUGAAUUAUUUACUGAGUGGUAGGUAUCCCAUCUACAAGAAUAAAAAGGAGUUCACUGCUCAACAGUACAGUUGCUUCGAUCAAGUUUUUAGCUAAGUUGUUUUGGUUAAUGCUUACCCAUGUUUCUCAAAAUGACUACUAUUCUUGUGCACAAAUUUUGGAUCUAGAAACAACAUCAUCAUUACAUAAGUCAAUUUUGAAAAAGCAUUUUGAGAUAACAUCAUAAUUUCAGUUAUUUAUUAUGCCAUUGCAGGUCUUGGUUCCUGGCCUACCGAUAAAAGAAGAGCAGUUCAACUAAUUUGAGAGAUGGCAUUUGGUCUGUUUUUUUACUCCUAUGCUUGCAUAUUUGCACAUCGAAGUUUUUUGAAACCCUACUAUACAAAGCUACUAACCGUCUUCAAUUCUCCAUUCUCAAUUAACACUGCCUUGGUUGAUCAGUCUUUGGGUGAUAUCAUGAACUAGAACCAUAGAAGUGUAAAUCUCUAUGCUAGGUUUUUAGAUGUAGUGCUCGAUAAGCCCCUUAUGACGUAUGUAACUUCCAGUUAGAUGAUGCAGUGGCUGGUAGGUCCCUUAUUGGUCCCAGUUAAAUGAACAAUUGUUACCUAUCCAUAAUUUGUUUUAGAUUUAAUUUACCCUGACGGUUCUAUCAAGAAAAAAAAUGAAUAAGACUUAUGUACCCAGUGCAGCAGUUAAUGCAAAAUAACAUUCCUCUUUUCUUCUUUUUAUCACUUCUCUACGGCUGAUAGCCUGAAAGCAACCAUUCCUCUACAUUUUUUUUAUUAUGAGCAUUCAUCAAUAUUUUUGCCUUGCCAGUGAUUAAUCCUUGGUGGGAACUCAAAAAUAAUUAGUCCUUUUUCUGACCUGUAUGUUUUGCUCGAAUGAAAUUGAAAUGCAUGGUCACUAAGGACAUGAAUUUUGGAGGACGACACUCAUGUUAGUGUUUCCAUGGUGCUGCUGGCACAUGUAUGCGUUAACAUCUUUUAAUUAUGUACAAUGGCUAAAUCUCAGUGAAUAGCCUACAGAUCAUGUUUCAUGAAUGCAUCUUUAUGUUGCUCUCCCUUCCCUUGUCCCUCUUCCCCUCUUUCUAAAUUUCGCAGAACAAGGUCAAGUAGCACAUUUUUAAAAAAUUAUUUAUAAGUUAAACUGAAACAAUAUAAAACUACCAACAAAGAUACCUUAAUCUUGAUUUAGGGAAUGAUUACCUGUACCUUGGUGUAUUACAUUUCUCAGUACUCUUAUGUCAUCGUAUUGCCUUCAGCUAGCUAUUUUUUUUUCAUACCAUUACAUGGCCUAUACUUAUUAACCGUUGACUGUUUUCUACUGCCUACAGAUUCAGGACAAAAUAAAUCCAUAAAAAUGGACAGCUAUCUGUACUAAAAUCUAACGGUUCUGGUAGAAAACAUCAACAUCUCCCUUGAGGCCCUUCAACUAGAACAUGCCAUCAUCGCAGGAUUUCCAAACACUAGGUCUACCUUGGAUGAACGGCCAGCCAAAAGUGUCUUCUACAUGGUGACUCAGCCUUUUGUUGAUCAGCGACCAACAUAUACUACACAUUCACUGAAUCGUUGCUAUGUGUUAUCAAGCAGUUUUUAAAUAACUGCGGACUGUGUUUCUGCACCUCUAGAUGAAUACCAUGCUUUUUUGCGUGGUCUGUGCUCAAAACCAGUGUACUGCUCUAGAAUACUGAAUCACCACCUAUAAACUUAAACAAAGAUAUAUCGUAUCCUUCCAAGGCUGCAUAUGCUA